rnacentral:tmRNA from 1 species
GGGGUCGACUGGUUUUGACAGCGAGUCUAAUUGACCUGUAAGCAUGCAGAGCGCUGAGAUACAGCUCUUAAAUAUCAUAUUUCAACCUUUUUAAAUGGCGAGAAUAACUACGCUCUUGCUGCCUAAUCUGAAUUCACAGUAGGAUUUUGGCCACGUUUCCGCAAGGCGGAAAGGCGAGAUGUCUCUGAGCAGCCCUUGUUGAUGGCGGCUCAUCAUGAGGCACCAUAAAAGUCAACAUAGAAACUUUGUAGCUUCGACAAAGUUUCAAAACUUAAGAAGCUAAGCUAUUAGUGGGCGGUUUUCGGUCAGCUAAUAGUCGACAAUUAAUCGGAAACUAAGCAUGUAGAAAGCAUUUUAAUUGCUUGUUUGGACGAGGGUUCGAAUCCCUCCGACUCCACUA